CAGUAGCCGCGGGAAUACGGAGGGUGCAAGCGUUAAUCGGAAUUACUGGGCGUAAAGCGCACGCAGGCGGUUUGCUAAGUCAGAUGUGAAAUCCCCGAGCUUAACUUGGGAACUGCAUUUGAAACUGGCAAGCUAGAGUCUUGUAGAGGGGGGUAGAAUUCCAGGUGUAGCGGUGAAAUGCGUAGAGAUCUGGAGGAAUACCGGUGGCGAAGGCGGCCCUCUGGACAAAGACUGACGCUCAGGUGCGAAAGCGUGGGGAGCAAACAGGAUUAGAUACCCGCGUAGUCCCUGUCUCUUAUAC
rnacentral:rRNA from 1 species